UAAGAAUCAAAGUUUAUAUUUGUCUUGUCUGAAAUGGAUGAUUCAACUGUCAAGAUUCUAAGCGUAGUUCUCUUCUCUAUCCUCAUUUCUCAAGGGUACAGCCAAUGUUUCUUGAGUAGUAUAUCUGUAAGCCAAUUUCAAACAGGAGUUAAAGUUCAAGGACAAACACAAUGGAGUGUAACCAUCACCAACAAAUGUGCAUGUGCUCAAGAGAAUGUGAUCUUGAAUUGUACUGGAUUUCAAUUCAUUGAACGCACAGAUCCUGAACUUAUGAGAAUUUAUGGAAAUAGUUGUCAAGUUAAUAUGGGUCGACCUAUUUCUAAAGUUCCUCUAAAAUUCAAAUAUGUUUGGAACCAACAACUUCCAUUAAAUCCCAUUUCCUCACAGAUUUCUUGUUCUUAAAUGUAGAGCCAAGGGAUUUUUAUAGGUUGAUGCCAGUUGUUGUAACAUAUAUGGUUUACAAGGGUUCCUGAAUAAAACAUUCAAUUUAGGUAUAUUGAA